UACGUAGGGUGCAAGCGUUGUCCGGAAUUAUUGGGCGUAAAGAGCUCGUAGGCGGCCUGUCGCGUCGGCUGUGAAAACCUGGGGCUCAACCCCGGGCCUGCAGCCGAUACGGGCAGGCUAGAAUUCGGUAGGGGAGACUGGAAUUCCUGGUGUAGCGGUGAAAUGCGCAGAUAUCAGGAGGAACACCGGUGGCGAAGGCGGGUCUCUGGGCCGAUAUUGACGCUGAGGAGCGAAAGCGUGGGGAGCAAACGGG
rnacentral:rRNA from 1 species